rnacentral:rRNA from 1 species
AGUGAACGCUGGCGGUAGGCCUAACACAUGCAAGUCGAACGGCAGCACAGUAAGAGCUUGCUCUUACGGGUGGCGAGUGGCGGACGGGUGAGGAAUACAUCGGAAUCUACUUUUUCGUGGGGGAUAACGUAGGGAAACUUACGCUAAUACCGCAUACGACCUACGGGUGAAAGCAGGGGAUCUUCGGACCUUGCGCGAUUGAAUGAGCCGAUGUCGGAUUAGCUAGUUGGCGGGGUAAAGGCCCACCAAGGCGACGAUCCGUAGCUGGUCUGAGAGGAUGAUCAGCCACACUGGAACUGAGACACGGUCCAGACUCCUACGGGAGGCAGCAGUGGGGAAUAUUGGACAAUGGGCGCAAGCCUGAUCCAGCCAUACCGCGUGGGUGAAGAAGGCCUUCGGGCUGUAAAGCCCUUUUGUUGGGAAAGAAAAGCAGCAGGUUAAUACCCCGCUGUUCUGACGGUACCCAAAGAACAAGCACCGGCUAACUUCGUG